rnacentral:lncRNA from 1 species
AUGAACAACAUGGCGGCAAGCUGCCCGUUCACUCCCAUGACUUCGGGUGUCAAUAAGACGGCUUGCUACCGAUGCACGCAGGAGGGGUCUGAAUGGGACGUCCCCUUGGGUAACGUUCAGUUUGGGGCGGUGUGGGAGAAUGGCACCGACGCGUAUCAAACUCGGUCAUUUGGAGGCAGAGGUGGCUAUGGCAGGGACACAAGUAUACUAAAGGCUGGUCUCGUUAGUACCGGAGGCCUAACCUUACUCCUCCGAGUGUACAAAGCACCGCGCAGUAUCCCCAUGGAGGAUCAUAGAUAUUAUAGCCCAAUAACCCCCACGCUUCUCCUGACAGCUAACGAAACCGGUGAUAGCCUACCAAUGCUCCUGUGGGUCAACACGCGUGAUGCCACUUUGGAAGGAGCAAAUGCCACCCUAAAUAUCUCUAGAGAAAUCAAGGAGAAUUUCACGGUGGAAUGGGUCGAAAUUAAUGAUGGGGAGAUUUGCCUGCAACACCCAUUGGUACUGCUCUGCGGUAACAUGACCUUUAAGUGCCUGCAGGCGGGGGAGGAUUAUGGCCUUUGUGUGUGGGGCAUACUCACCACAUUGGGGAUAUUCACGGGAAAACGGACCCGAAGGGAGGUAUUCUCGUCCCUCCCUGACCAUGGCCAGACAACGAGUAACUGUUCGGGAGCCACGUUAGGCUACCCGAAGUAUCAAGGGAUCACUGGAAUCCUAACGGCCGUAUUGAGCCCAGGGGUGGGAACCCUGAUAAAUGCAGAUGCAUUAGGUAAAUUAGCGUGCAGCCUGGCGCAGACAAACGCUGUGGUCAAGCAAGUGGUGGAAUCCAUGGCGCAUAGCACGGAAACCACGGAACGCCUAUUACGAGCGCAUAGGCAGGCGAUUAACGUGUUAUUUGACAUCUUGAUACAGGGCGGAUGCUCCUCCACACAACUGGCAAAUCUGACGUUCUGCUGUCUGUCAGCAGAGGACUAUUCGAAGAUCAAUGAACGGAACGCCAUCAUCCGGAUGGCAGCGGAUGGACUGGCAACUGCGGUCAGAGAGAACCCGAUUGGAUGGGCAUGGCCGGACAACCUGGCGGCGAGCGUGUGGGCAUGGAUUCUGUCGUGGUUUGACUGGAAGUGGCUAAUCAUGCUGGGAUUAGUAGCGCUUGCGAUAGUAGCGGCUAUAUGCUGUGGCCUCCCAAUAAUCAGCAUCUGCCUGAGGCAGGUAYGGGCUCAGCUGCUUGCUAGGCACGAACGUAGAGUGUAUCAACUCCUGAUACGAGAAGAGAUGCUCCAGGGAGAAGGGGAGAUGUGGGUGAUAUCCAAUCCCGAGCGGGGACUAGGCGAACGGAAGAUCACGCGAUGUGAYGAGCAGGCAGGGGGCGUAGACGAAGCGUUGCGGUAUAUAAGGACACGUGCAGCAUACAAUAAACGCCAUCUUAGUAUCCCUCAUAUGGAAGUCUGUGCUUCAUGGCCCUGGGAUCUGAGGGUCCCGGUGCACCCUUAG